rnacentral:rRNA from 1 species
UACGGAGGGUGCAAGCGUUGUCCGGAAUCACUGGGCGUAAAGGGCGCGUAGGCGGCCUGGUAAGUAGGGGGUGAAAUCCUGCGGCUUAACCGCAGGGCUGCCCUUCUAAACUGUCAGGCUUGAGCAGCGGUAGGGGCAGAUGGAAUUCCCGGUGUAGCGGUGGAAUCGCGUAGAGAUCGGGAAGAACAUCAGUGGCGAAGGCGGUCUGCUGGGCCGUUGCUGACGCUGGAGGCGCGAAAGCGUGGGGAGCAAACAGG